rnacentral:lncRNA from 1 species
CGCGCCGCGAGGUCCUAAGCAGCCCGGGCUGUUGCGCGGCGCUGGCGGGCGGGGACACCAACGGGGAGUGGAUACUCCGAGGCUCAACCUGGGGCCUCUGCCCGCCCUCCCCUGGGUGCGGAGCCGGACGGCGGGCACUGGCAACCCCCGGGCCCCUGGAGAGCCCCGCGGCGGCCCAAGACCCGCUCCCGAGACACGUGGGCCCCUCCGGACUUGGUUGGUCCCUGGAGCCAGCUGCGCGCGUCCUCUCCGGCCUCCUUGUCGGCGCUGGAGUGGGUCCACGUCUGCCUUGCGGAGCGCGGUGGUUCCACGCUCCUGAGCGCCCACGCUGCGCAGACCUGGCCGCUCUGCGAGGCGACGGCAGCGCACUGAAGACCGUGGUGUUUCCCAAGCCCUCCCUGCUCUCGGGCCUCCAGGGCGCAGCAGGGGAGGGUUUUGUCCCCGUGGCCAAAGCUCUGCAGGUCGAACCUUAUCUGCUAUGGGAAGGCCCCGCAUUUUCAGAUUCACGCAGGGCCCUCUGCAGACUGUUGGCAGAAAAAAGGUAGCCACCAAACACAUGCAUAAGCUGGACUUUUCCCAGAAUGCUGCAGCAGAACUACCCUCCAGAUAGACACUAGCCUGCGGGCCACAGUGCUACGUGAGUCUUGCAAAGAGGAGAUCUUUAUGGCGAGGCUGAGAGCACUGCCUGCAUGCUUUACCAGAGCCCAGCCUCCAGCCUCCACGGAAAAUGUGUUUUGGAAUCAACACUCUUUGCAAAGGCUCCACACUGCUUUCUGGUAGCAUUGGCCUGGGCGCCCAGGCACUCCUUUAGAACCCACCUGUUCCCCCCACCCACCCUAGUGGGAGGAGGAGAGGGUUACACUGACAGAUACCGGCAGCUCUGCAACCCGGGAACAACGCAGACAACAUACAACUCGACAGAGUCACAGAAGGUGGCGUCCAUCGCGCCUGGAUGGUGACUACUGCCCUGCGGGCUGCUGGGUGGGUGAAACACACAGGGAAGAAGCACAAAUACACACACAGAUGUGGCUCAGGGACAUUUGAAUGCUUCAGUGUGUGAAUUUUUUAGCGCAUUCUGACUCGAAAUUAUGGCUGAAUAGUGGCGCACUAAUGUCCAAGUCCAUGUUCGAUAAUGGCAGGAAGUCUGCACUAAUUGGUCUAUUUAGUAGUUGCUGAGGUGGCAAAAGCUGCAGCUGCUGGUGGCUGAAAGAGAGAGAGAGAGAGAGAGACCUCCUCUUAGGCCACUUCCCAGAGCUGUGGCAGUGGGGGAGGGGGAAUUCCCCAGGAUGGUGUUUGUGGUCAAGUUCACCUCUGGCAACCCUGCCUAAGCUCUUCUCACAGGUGCACGCAUUCAAGUCCUGAAGAGCCCUCCCCGCCCCCAACAGUGUUCAUGUCCCGGGCUGGGGGCCCGCCUGGGAGGGGCUCUAUAUGCCGGUGGGACCUGGCUGCUUUGCCUCGCAUUCUCCCCACUCUUCCCCUUCCCAGGGCAGCUUUUCUCCCCGCACCCCAUCUCUCUCCCCUUUGCUUUCUAACUGGGUUGGGAAGCUAAUCUGCCAAGAGCCCGCUGCUUAGCCGGUGCGGUGGCAUGUGCCUGUGGUCCCAGCUACUUGGGAGGCUGGAACAGGAGAAUCGCCUGAGCCCAGGGGUAGAGGUGAGGCUGCA